CCUCGGGAGGCAGCAGUGGGGAAUAUUGGACAAUGGGCGAAAGCCUGAUCCAGCCAUGCCGCGUGUGUGAAGAAGGCCUUCGGGUUGUAAAGCACUUUCAGUGGGGAAGAAAGCCUUGGGGCUAAUACCCUCGAGGAAGGACAUCACCCACAGAAGAAGCACCGGCUAACUCCGUGCCAGCAGCCGCGGUAAUACGGAGGGUGCGAGCGUUAAUCGGAAUUACUGGGCGUAAAGCGCGCGUAGGCGGUCUGAUAAGCCGGUUGUGAAAGCCCCGGGCUCAACCUGGGAACGGCAUCCGGAACUGUCCGGCUAGAGUGCAGGAGAGGAAGGUAGAAUUCCCGGUGUAGCGGUGAAAUGCGUAGAGAUCGGGAGGAAUACCAGUGGCGAAGGCGGCCUUCUGGACUGACACUGACGCUGAGGUGCGAAAGCGUGGGUAGCAAACAGGAUUAGAUACCCCAGUAGUC
rnacentral:rRNA from 1 species